GACAACAUGUGCAGACCGUUUAAAAUACAGAUCCUGCAGAUGACAGCUCAGUGACAGUGUUUUUAAUAUCACUAAACAGCAUCUAUUCCAGCACAUAAACAAACAAAACCGAUAAAGUGCAGGAAUGGAGAGUCACUAUUAAGGGAUGUGUUUGAACAGAAGCAGAGCUCUGGGACGUGUGGACAGACUUUCACUGUAAUGAUGGACAUCCGCUCGUGGACACAAGUAUAACCCCUGCUGGACAUGGUGCCGGGUCUCGGGGGGGACCCGAAUCGUCCCCAUCCCUUCAUUCACACAACACUCACUCAUAUCGCGGAGAUCUGGCUGGGAUCGAACCAGCAACCUCUGAACCGUGAGGCAGCGCUCUUACCUAGAGAUGAAACUGGACAUGCCACGCUCGUCUGGAAGAGAUGAUGAUAUGCAGGAUCCAGUGACAAAUCCUGAAAAGCUGAGAGCUCAUAUCACGUUUUUAACUUUUAUAUAAAGUGAACAGUGUAGCACUACAUUCACAGCUUUUUUUGGGGGGGAUAAAAGUUUCUUGUUAACAAGAAACUGAUUAAUAAUAAUACAUUAAUGUAUUUACUCACCCAUGGAUGCUAGUAGUAUCCAAAAAUAAUAUCCCACCAAGACAAUCUAAAGAUGGGGGAAAAUAAGGCUAUCAAGAGUGAGAGAGUCUGUUUGGAAACCUAAUUUAUAUAAAGUGACAGUAUCUCUUCUGAAGGAUCGAUACAAAGGAUUUGGAGGGACCAAGUAAGAAAGGAGUGGGCAGAGCUAGUGAGAGAAAGCCAACUCCUCUUAAACUUUACAGAAAAAUACAGAAAAGAAAUGUAGCAUCAAAAGUGUUACAUGUGACAGCUUUUAAAAGAAAGCUGUGCUUCACAUUACAUUUCAAAUAAAAUGAAAAUACAGCACAGAAACAUUAGCCAGUUUUCAUGCACUUCUUUAAUAUAUCAGUUUUCCAUAUUCACAACAAAUACAUUAAGCUCUUUUUCCUUUUAUAUUAUACAGUCUUAAAUAUUUUUACACAGAAACAUUUUCUCAGAAUUUUCAUCUAUCAAAAUGUCUUUUCUUAACCUUUAUUUCUUAAGUUGAAACAUUUGAAGUCAUUUCAAUGUUUUUAUCUCCAUGCCUCCUAGCAAACAGACAGUACUUCCUUUGUACAGCUAUUUACAGAUGAAAAGAGUCUCCCAAACAUUUGUAUGAUACUUCUCACUUGAAUGAACUUGCACUGGUGGGGUUUAAAGUGCAGGCAAGGCAACAGAAAGAGAAUGUGAUACAGACGUUUUUGGUGAAGGCUUUAAAAAUGCAAUAAAAUGGGGGUUUGGGGAGUGAAAGAAA